rnacentral:snoRNA from 1 species
CUGCGUCUCUCCAACCCGGCCGGAUCAGCAACUUUGGUUGCCGUGGUCUGAUCGACUGUUAGAGACGCUAUAUGAGAAAUUUGGCGUUUUCGCUAACACCGAGUCCUGUGACCGGAGUUUGAUAGUAGGUCGCUGAACAAUU